rnacentral:rRNA from 1 species
AUUGAACGCUGGCGGCAUGCCUUACACAUGCAAGUCGAACGGCAGCACGGGAGCAAUCCUGGUGGCGAGUGGCGAACGGGUGAGUAAUAUAUCGGAACGUGCCCAGUCGUGGGGAUAACGUAGCGAAAGCUACGCUAAUACCGCAUACGAUCUAUGGAUGAAAGCGGGGGAUCGCAAGACCUCGCGCGAUUGGAGCGGCCGAUAUCAGAUUAGCUAGUUGGUAAGGUAACGGCUUACCAAGGCAACGAUGGGUAGGGGUCCUGAGAGGGAGAUCCCCCCACACUGGUACUGAGACACGGACCAGACUCCUACGGGAGGCAGCAGUGAGGAAUAUUGGACAAUGGGCGCAAGCCUGAUCCAGCCAUGCCGCGUGCAGGAUGACGGUCCUAUGGAUUGUAAACUGCUUUUUGUACGGAACGAAACGGUGAGCUCUAAUACAGUUUGCUAAUGACGGUACCGUAAGAAUAAGCACCGGCUAAC